AAAGAGACGUUGCCCUUCGGGGUAUACCUCCCACCCUUUGUUUAUUUAUACCUUUGUUGCUUUGGCAGACCCGGCUUCGGCCCACCGGCUCCGGCUGGUCAGUGUCUGCCAGAGGACCUAAAACUCUGUUUGUUAAUAUUGUCUGAGUACUAUAUAAUAGUUAAAACUUUCAACAACGGAUCUCUUGGUUCUGGCAUCGAUGAAGAACGCAGCGAAAUGCGAUAAUUAAUGUGAAUUGCAGAUUUUAGUGAAUCAUCGAAUCUUUGAACGCACAUUGCGCCCCUUGGUAUUCCGGGGGGCAUGCCUGUUCGAGCGUUAUUUCAACCCUCAAGCUCUGCUUGGUCUUGGGCCGCGCCGGCAACGGCGGGCCUCAAAAACAGUGGCGGCGCCAUCGUGUCCCUCAGCGUAGUAAUUCUUCUCGCUGUUGGGCCCCGGUGGCCGCUGGCCAGCAACCCCCAAUUUUUCUAUGGUUGACCUCGGAUCAGGUAGGGAUACCCGCUGAACUUAA
rnacentral:rRNA from 1 species